GGGGGCGUAAAGGUUUCGACGGGGAUUUUGACAUAUGGUAAGCGGGUAGAGACGCCUGAUCUCUUUAAAAUUGGCAAAACUUAAAAUUAAACGCUAAUACUGAAUUAGCUGCUGCCUAAGUGCAGCUGUCCGCCGGGGGAGUAUCGCGGCCCCCGCUCGGGCAUCAAAUGAGCGGUGAACGUGAGCAGCCCUUUCGCACUUGACGCUGCCAUGCACUAAAGUGCUGCCCCAAUCCGGAGCCUGCCCUUCGGCGCCGGUGCGGGGGAGAUUCAAAUGAUGGGAUGCACCCGGAGAAAGCUGUGUGAAGAGGUUUUCGGACAGGGGUUCGAUUCCCCUCGCCUCCACCA
rnacentral:tmRNA from 1 species